CCUCUGUACUUCCUUUUCCGCUCAGGCUCGGAAGGUGGAGGUCGGGUCGGCUGGCGUUAGCCAUGCUUUCAGGGCAGCAGCAGCACCUGCGGGUCGGUCACCAGGCUCUUCGAGGUACAGCAAAGUAUGUAUUUUGAAGAUUUAUGAAAGUUGAGAACAAAUGUUUUUCAAAAACGUCAUAGAAGAUGACUGAAGAAAAUUGCUAUGACUACAACUGCAUGUAACAAGCCUAUAGGUAGCUGCAGAUUAAUUCAUAAGUCCUUUGAUGGUGCUGAAAAACAUUGACUCAUGUAUGGAAUGCAGUGCUUUAGAAGGAACAAUGAAGAAUUGGUCAA